rnacentral:rRNA from 1 species
UACGAAGGGGGCUAGCGUUGCUCGGAAUCACUGGGCGUAAAGGGUGCGUAGGCGGGUCUUUAAGUCAGGGGUGAAAUCCUGGAGCUCAACUCCAGAACUGCCUUUGAUACUGAGGAUCUUGAGUACGGGAGAGGUGAGUGGAACUGCGAGUGUAGAGGUGAAAUUCGUAGAUAUUCGCAAGAACACCAGUGGCGAAGGCGGCUCACUGGACCGGCAUUGACGCUGAUGUGCGAAAGCGUGGGGAGCAAACAGG